AAACGGCGUCGUAGCAGAGCGCUCCAAAACGCGCUCGUUUUGCCUUUUCCAUCUAGUUCACCGAGCACAAAUAUCAGAAACAGCCCACACAGUCUUCCACAAAGCAAAGCAGUUACAGAAACGUCUCUCUUUCCCUUUCUCUACUCUAUGAUUCUGAUUCCAAAUCCCCAUAUCAAAUUUCUUGCCUUUUCUCUCAGACUCUCCUAGGGUUUAAUUGAGCUUCAUCUCCAACCUCCAAUCUCUCUCAUUUCCCUCCUCCAAUGUCUUCCUCCAAUUCCAAAGCCGCCCCCUACGGCACCCUCCCUCCCCCCGCCGCCGCCGCCGCCGCAUACACAACCCCAACCACGACGUUCUCACGCGCCAGAGACGCCACCCAGGCCGUCUUCGCCACGCGCCGCCCGUGGCUCGAGCUGGUCCAGCCUUUCUCCAGCUUCACGCGCCCGGACACUUUUGGCGCGGCCACGCUCCGAAUCAAGAGCAACCUCAGCCACUUCCGGGUCAACUACGCCAUGGCCGUCCUCUUCAUCCUCUUCCUCAGCCUCCUCUGGCACCCCGUCUCCCUCAUCGUCUUCCUCCUCGUCUUCGUCGCCUGGUUCUUCCUCUACUUCUUCCGCGACGCUCCCCUCGUCCUCUUCAAUUGGAUCGUCGACGACCGCAUCGUCCUCGCCGUCCUCGCCCUCGUCACCGUCGUCGCUCUCGUCUUCACCAGCGUCUGGUUGAACGUCCUCGUCUCCAUUCUCGUUGGGAUCGCGCUCGUGCUGUUACACGCGGCGUUUCGGGGCACUGAGGAUUUGUAUAGGGAUGACCUAGAAGGCGGCGGCUUGUUUUCGGUCGUGGGCAGCCCCACCCGUGAUGGCUACACCGGCUUCUAGCUCAUUCUCUCCAUUUUGGGUACCCUUUUGUGCCAAGAAUUGAUCUUUGAUUCGGAGGAGCAGUUCAUUUUGGCAUUGGUGUUGCAGACUUUGAAGGCUGGAUGAUGAGGAAGCUACACCAUCUCCUUCUAGUGUAGAGAUGCAAUGCUUUGGGUUUUUUAAUCCAUGUGACGGAAGUCUUUGAAUUGAUUACUGGAAAAGGGAAAGCAAUAAUUAUUGCUGCCAUGGUCCAUGGAAAGCCAUUGCCUUUUUAAUCGGAAUGCUUUUCAUCUGUAGCUGGUUUCCACAUGGACGUUCUUUCUGAAUUGUGAUGGCUUCUGUUUCAUAUUAUUCUGGAAUUGUUUGGUAGGGUAGCAUUAAGCAACUGAGGAGUGAGGAUUCACCAUAUGAUUACUGGUUAUUCUUAUCCUGCUGUAGUCUGCUUUAUUUUUGUUGUUCUUAGUACAGUGGAUGUUCUCUUCCUUACAGU